GGACGAACGCUGGCGGCGUGCUUAACACAUGCAAGUCGAACGGAAAGGCCCUGCUUUUGUGGGGUGCUCGAGUGGCGAACGGGUGAGUAACACGUGAGUAACCUGCCCUUGACUUUGGGAUAACUUCAGGAAACUGGGGCUAAUACCGGAUAGGAGCUCCUGCUGCAUGGUGGGGGUUGGAAAGUUUCGGCGGUUGGGGAUGGACUCGCGGCUUAUCAGCUUGUUGGUGGGGUAGUGGCUUACCAAGGCUUUGACGGGUAGCCGGCCUGAGAGGGUGACCGGCCACAUUGGGCCUGAGGUACGGCCCAGACUCCUACGGGAGGCAGCAGUGGGGAAUAUUGCACAAUGGGCGGAAGCCUGAUGCAGCAACGCCGCGUGCGGGAUGACGGCCUUCGGGUUGUAAACCGCUUUCGCCUGUGACGAAGCGUGAGUGACGGUAAUGGGUAAAGAAGCACCGGCUAACUACGUG
rnacentral:rRNA from 1 species